rnacentral:lncRNA from 1 species
UAUCAUCUUUAUACGGAACAUUUGAUCUUUUUUAAUCAUAAGGUUUGAAAAACAAGUUUUUCAGGAACGUAAUAACUUAAACUAAUACUUAUUUGCUACUUUUCUUUCAGACAAUGACGAAAGCAGAUAUUUUAAAGACAGUCAGAUUACUACGCUAACUUAAUGUGAUAAGGCAUAUUGAAUAAUUUACAAAGUAUGGUGCUGCUGUACUACUUUUGUUAAUGAUAACGUUCACACUAGCAGGGCACUGGGUAGCUUGUGUGUUUGAUGCCAUUGCAUUCUGGGAGUGACAGCACUUGGACAAAAGCCAUAGGAUGGUUAGAUAGUGUCGCCACAAGUACCAAUGAAACUUACGUUGCUAACGUUACAGAUAGUGAACCCAGCAUAAUCACAUCAUUUUACGUUACGUUGCUGACGUUACAGAUAGUGAACCCUGCAUAAUCACAUCAUUUUACGUUACGUUGCUGACGUUACAGACAGUGAACCCAGCAUAAUCACAGCAUUUUACGUUUACGUUGCUGACGUCAAUAGGAUUGGGAAACGUGUCACCAAAUACUCACGACGGGAAAAUAUUCCCAACAUUUGCUGUUCUGCUUGGUUGUAAAGAUGAUAUAUUUUGCGGUGUCACGGUGACCUAGAAUUGACGGGAAAAUCGCUCUACUUUGUACUUGCACUUAGAUCAUACUGUGAUAUAAACAAGACAGAGUCACAUAUGCUGAAAGAAACUCUGAAUACUUCACCAGAAUUUUCGGACAAAAAAAUCAUGGAUGAAACACAAGGUCAAUUUUAAGCGGCUCGACAAAGUGGGCGAUCUAACUGGCGCAGAAGAAUGACUAGCACCGUACCGCAGAUUGGAGAUGAGCCGACAUUUAGCCUAUAGCAAUAUAAAUACAGCGUUCAAAGACAAAUCAGUAAAGAGUUAAUACUUUAUUUACAAACAUAUACACCAUUGAAAACCAUUUCAUAAUUUGGAUGAUAUAUUUAAGGGUGCAUGGUGUCCUAUGAUGGAGCGCCCGGCUCGAG